rnacentral:rRNA from 1 species
AGUGAACGCUGGCGGUAGGCCUAACACAUGCAAGUCGAACGGCAGCACAGGAGAGCUUGCUCCCUGGGUGGCGAGUGGCGGACGGGUGAGGAAUACAUCGGAAUCCACCUUGUCGUGGGGGAUAACGUAGGGAAACUUACGCUAAUACCGCAUACGACCUUCGGGUGAAAGUGGGGGACCGCAAGGCCUCACGCGAUUAGAUGAGCCGAUGUCGGAUUAGCUAGUUGGCGGGGUAAAAGCCCACCAAGGCGACGAUCCGUAGCUGGUCUGAGAGGAUGAUCAGCCACACUGGAACUGAGACACGGUCCAGACUCCUACGGGAGGCAGCAGUGGGGAAUAUUGGACAAUGGGCGCAAGCCUGAUCCAGCCAUACCGCGUGGGUGAAGAAGGCCUUCGGGUUGUAAAGCCCUUUUGUUGGGAAAGAAAUCUUGCCGGUUAAUACCUGGCGAGGAUGACGGUACCCAAAGAAUAAGCACCGGCUAACUUCGUGCCAGCCGCCGCGGUAAGAC